CCUACGGGUGGCAGCAGUGGGGAAUAUUGCACAAUGGGCGCAAGCCUGAUGCAGCCAUGCCGCGUGUGUGAAGAAGGCCUUCGGGUUGUAAAGCACUUUCAGCGGGGAGGAAGGCGUUAAGGUUAAUAACCUUGGCGAUUGACGUUACCCGCAGAAGAAGCACCGGCUAACUCCGUGCCAGCAGCCGCGGUAAUACGGAGGGUGCAAGCGUUAAUCGGAAUUACUGGGCGUAAAGCGCACGCAGGCGGUCUGUCAAGUCGGAUGUGAAAUCCCCGGGCUCAACCUGGGAACUGCAUUCGAAACUGGCAGGCUAGAGUCUUGUAGAGGGGGGUAGAAUUCCAGGUGUAGCGGUGAAAUGCGUAGAGAUCUGGAGGAAUACCGGUGGCGAAGGCGGCCCCCUGGACAAAGACUGACGCUCAGGUGCGAAAGCGUUGGGAGCAAACAGGAUUAGAUACCCUAGUAGUC
rnacentral:rRNA from 1 species